ACGAAUGGGGAUGUAUGAUUGAACUGGGUAUAGUCUGAAAAAUGCUUAGGCCCUAGGCCCAAGAUUCAAAAGGCUCCCUGUGCCAAGAAACGGACCACCACCGAAUAAUCAAGAUUUCACCGAGCUUCUUCAUCUCUGCAGUUCCUCUACUCGCGAUUCCCUUCUUGAUCUCUUCUUCUUCAAUUCCUCCUAUUUCUGUUUCCUUUUUUUGGUCGUGAUUGUGUGGUUGUGGCAAUUUGUAUGUGUCUACGGUGGGGUGAAUGUCACGAGUUCUUUGCUGGAUUGAAGAAGUGCCGCCGAAUUGUUAUUGUAUUGAGUUGAAGAUGGUAAAUCGUGGAUUGAAGGAUGAAGUUUUGUUAGCAGGUUCAAGGGUGGUUUUGAAGUGUUUGAUUGAAGGUGAUUGCAUGUUAGAGGAUCCUUGGUUAUUGAGGGUGAAAUUGGAUUGUAGAGUGAAGGUGAAUAAAUGUUGAGUUGCAGGUUUUCGUUUUUGUCUUCAGUUCUGCUCUGUUAGAAGCCUUUUUUUGGGAAAAUUCUGUUGUGGUUGGUGGAUGGUUGGAGGAGGCGUUUAUGCAGGUUCUGUUAGGUAUUGGUUGAGCGGGUUCUUAUUAUGUUUGAAGGUGUGAGGGAGGUGUUUAUGUCGGUUUCGUUCUGUUAUGUUGUGUUGGAGUUAGAGAGAGUUGGAGAGGUUAUGAAUUCUGUUAGAGUUUGUUGUGGCAAUUUGGAAUUCAGUUGGUUGUUGUGGGAAGUUGGUUAGGGAGAUUGAAGGUUUGUAGCAAGGUGCAGUUGGUUUUCGCAGUCGGUUCGAAUCUGUUACGAAUUGGAGUUUUUAAGGUUGUGAUUCAGUUGGAAGUGGUUGUUAGCAGUUGCCGGUUAUGACAGUUGGCAUGUUAGUUACCGAGUUGGUUCUCAUCUGAAGUUAGUUAUAUGGUUACAAUAAAUGUUGUUAGUUAUCUAUUAUGCUAUGCUUGUAUUAGUUUGAUGCACUUUGUUAACUAUUGAUUUCAAAUCAGUCAGCUGUUAUGAAAUUGGUUGUUCAUUCGGUUAGAAGUUGAGAAGUGGCUAAUGUCAGUUGGAAAUUCGGUUGAGAUUAUUUAGUGAGUUAUUUGGUUAAGUUCAGUAUGUAUAUGAAUUUCUGCUGAGCUUUUUGUUGAUGUUAGUUUUUAGGGUGAGACACUUAGGUUGGAGGAUAAUCGAAGUUGUUGGGUGUUGAUUAUUCGGUUGGAGGAAUUUGGUUUGGAGGUUUUGUUAUGGAGUUGAUUGAAGGGUAAUGUGAGUUUUUUUAAGCUCAGUUUGGAGGUUAGUUAUGACAAUUAGAAAGGGUGGUUAGGAUUCGGUUAUGGCCUUGUGUUAUGUGAAGUUAUCCUUCUGUUAUAGGUUAGUUUUGAGAGGUUAGAAAGUUAGUUGGUUGUUAUGAUUCAAGAGGUUUCAAGUGGUUUCAAAAGUUCUAAUUCUAUUGGUUUUCUUUUUGGAUAUUUUCUUUGAGUUCUGUUAAUCUUUUCUUUCCCCUCUUCCAUAAUUUGCUUCUCCUAUUAUAAUAUUUUUUUUUGUUGAUUUUAUGCAAGGUUUCUAUUGGUUUUGAUUGUUGUUGCUUCUGUUUAAUGAUUGCAUUGUUCUGAAAUGAACUAUGAUAAAAACCUAUUUGCAUGAAGCAUAUCAUAUGUCUGCGGGUAGGUGGGGAAAGGUUCACACCAGUCAUGCAUAACACCUGUAAAACCUCUAUCUAGUAUGAGAGGAAGUGCAUUAGUAGCCCUGGCAGGAGCAACAUUCAUGACCCACACUGACCUUUUCUCCUCCAGCAGGGCAGCAUUCAAACCUCCAUAAUUAGAAUACAUGUCCAUAAUAUUCCGAAUCAUAUUAUAUGGAGGCAGUGGAUCUUAAUCUCCAGGUCUCUUUGGAUGGUCAGAGAAAAUUAGUGGUGUAAGCAGGGACCAAUAAUUACCAACAACUGAUCACCAGAAAUGCACGUCUUCGUAAAAGUCUUCAGGCUGAACUCCAUGAAUUUCAGGCUCAGCUGAACUCAAUUCAGAAUCAAUGGAUCUGUUCUGUAUUGCAAUCCAGCGCUUGCUAGAUGUCCCACUUAUACAUGAUACAAGAGGCUUAUAGUGAUGGACAAAUGCCAUGAAGAUCAUGAAGAACAAGAACAUUAGAGGUUUAGGGAUUUUGGUAAUGGGGAGUUCGGGAAUUGGGUUGACUUUGGUCAAAGUUGACCAAAAAGUCAACUGUUGACCAAAGUCAACAUUUGGUCAGCAAUUCCAUUUUUUGUAUUUUUUGAUGUAAUGAACAUUCUUUUGCAAUGUAAAUGAUUAUUUGGAAUGAAUUUGAAUGGUUUUGACUUGAAUGAAUGA